rnacentral:sRNA from 1 species
UAGUUGCCAGGACUAAAUUCAUGGAGGA